UAGAGUUUGAUUCCUGGCUCAGAACGAACGCUGGCGGCAUGCCUAACACAUGCAAGUCGAACGAAGCCUUCGGGCUUAGUGGCGCACGGGUGCGUAACGCGUGGGAAUCUGCCCUUGGGUUCGGAAUAACAGUUAGAAAUGACUGCUAAUACCGGAUAAUGUCUUCGGACCAAAGAUUUAUCGCCAAAGGAUGGGCCCGCGUAGGAUUAGUUAGUUGGUGGGGUAAAGGCUCACCAAGGCGACGAUCCUUAGCUGGUCUUAGAGGAUGAUCAGCCACACUGGGACUGAGACACGGCCCAGACUCCUACGGGAGGCAGCAGUGGGGAAUAUUGGACAAUGGGCGAAAGCCUGAUCCAGCAAUGCCGCGUGAGUGAUGAAGGCCUUAGGGUUGUAAAGCUCUUUUACCCGGGAUGAUAAUGACAGUACCGGGAGAAUAAGCCCCG
rnacentral:rRNA from 1 species